AUUGAACGCUGGCGGCAGGCUUAACACAUGCAAGUCGAACGAGUGGCGGACGGGUGAGUAAUGCUUGGGAAUCUAGCUUAUGGAGGGGGAUAACUACGGGAAACUGUAGCUAAUACUGGAUGCUAAGAGAUGAGCCUAUGUGGGAUUAGCUCGUUGGUGGGGUAAUGGCUCACCAAGGCGACGAUCUCUAGCUGGGUUGAGAGGAUGAUCAGCCACACUGGGACUGAGAAACGGCCCAGACUCCUUCGGGAGGCAGCAGUGGGGAAUAUUGGGCAAUGGGCGAAAGCCUGUUCCAGCAAUACCGCGUGUGUGAAGAAGGCCCUAGGGUUGUAAAGCACUUUUGUUAGGGAGAUGUUACCUAAAGAAUAAGCACCGGCUAACUCCGUGCAAGCAGCCGCGGUAAUAC
rnacentral:rRNA from 1 species